rnacentral:rRNA from 1 species
GACAGAGGCCUCGAGCGUUAGGCGGAAUCACUGGGCUUAAAGCGUGUGUAGGCGGAUCGUUAAGUGUCUUGUGAAAUCCCACGGCUCAACCGUGGAACUGCUGGGCAUACUGGCGAUCUUGGGCCACCUAGGGGCAGUCGGAACAAACGGUGGAGCGGUGAAAUGCGUAGAUAUCGUUUGGAACGCCGAUGGUGAAAACAGACUGCUGGGGGUGUGCAGACGCUGAGACACGAAAGCCAGGGGAGCAAACGGG